rnacentral:rRNA from 1 species
CCUACGGGUGGCUGCAGUGGGGAAUAUUGGACAAUGGGCGAAAGCCUGAUCUAGCCAUGCCGCGUGUGUGAAGAAGGCCUUCGGGUUGUAAAGCACUUUCAGUGGGGAAGAAAGCCUUGGGGCUAAUACCCUCGAGGAAGGACAUCACCCACAGAAGAAGCACCGGCUAACUCCGUGCCAGCAGCCGCGGUAAUACGGAGGGUGCGAGCGUUAAUCGGAAUUACUGGGCGUAAAGCGCGCGUAGGCGGUCUGAUAAGCCGGUUGUGAAAGCCCCGGGCUCAACCUGGGAACGGCAUCCGGAACUGUCAGGCUAGAGUGCAGGAGAGGAAGGUAGAAUUCCCGGUGUAGCGGUGAAAUGCGUAGAGAUCGGGAGGAAUACCAGUGGCGAAGGCGGCCUUCUGGACUGACACUGACGCUGAGGUGCGAAAGCGUGGGUAGCAAACAGGAUUAGAUACCCCAGUAGUC